GACGAACGCUGGCGGCGUGCCUAAUACAUGCAAGUUGAGCGCUGUAGGUUGGUACUUGUCCCAACUGGAUGAGCAGCGAACGGGUGAGUAACGCGUGGGGAAUCUGCCUUUGAGCGGGGGACAACAUUUGGAAACGAAUGCUAAUACCGCAUAAAAACUUUAAACACAAGUUUUAAGUUUGAAAGAUGCAAUUGCAUCACUCAAAGAUGAUCCCGCGUUGUAUUAGCUAGUUGGUGAGGUAAAGGCUCACCAAGGCGAUGAUACAUAGCCGACCUGAGAGGGUGAUCGGCCACAUUGGGACUGAGACACGGCCCAAACUCCUACGGGAGGCAGCAGUAGGGAAUCUUCGGCAAUGGACGAAAGUCUGACCGAGCAACGCCGCGUGAGUGAAGAAGGUUUUCGGAUCGUAAAACUCUGUUGGUAGAGAAGAACGUUGGUGAGAGUGGAAAGCUCAUCAAGUGACGGUAACUACCCAGAAAGGGACGGCUAACUACGUG
rnacentral:rRNA from 1 species